GACGAACGCUGGCGGCGUGCUUAACACAUGCAAGUCGAGCGGUAAGGCCUCUUCGGGGGUUCACGAGCGGCGAACGGGUGAGUAACACGUGGGUGACCUGCCCUCAGCUCUGGGAUAAGCCUGGGAAACUGGGUCUAAUACCGGAUAUGACCUUUCCUCGCAUGGGGUUUGGUGGAAAGUUUUUUCGGCUGGGGAUGGGCCCGCGGCCUAUCAGCUUGUUGGUGGGGUGAUGGCCUACCAAGGCGACGACGGGUAGCCGGCCUGAGAGGGCGACCGGCCACACUGGGACUGAGACACGGCCCAGACUCCUACGGGAGGCAGCAGUGGGGAAUAUUGCGCAAUGGGCGGAAGCCUGACGCAGCGACGCCGCGUGGGGGAUGACGGCCUUCGGGUUGUAAACCUCUUUCGACCCCGACGAAUUUGGACGGUAGGGGUAGAAGAAGCACCGGCCAACUACGUG
rnacentral:rRNA from 1 species